rnacentral:rRNA from 1 species
AACGAACGCUGGCGGCAGGCCUAACACAUGCAAGUCGAGCGAGGACUUCGGUUCUAGCGGCGGACGGGUGAGUAACGCGUGGGAAUGUGCCCUUCUCUACGGAAUAGCCCUGGGAAACUGGGAGUAAUACCGUAUACGCCCUAUUGGGGAAAGAUUUAUCGGAGAAGGAUCAGCCCGCGUUGGAUUAGGUAGUUGGUGGGGUAAUGGCCUACCAAGCCGACGAUCCAUAGCUGGUUUGAGAGGAUGAUCAGCCACACUGGGACUGAGACACGGCCCAGACUCCUACGGGAGGCAGCAGUGGGGAAUCUUAGACAAUGGGGGCAACCCUGAUCUAGCCAUGCCGCGUGAGUGAUGAAGGCCUUAGGGUUGCAAAGCUCUUUCAGCUGGGAAGAUAAUGACGGUACCAGCAGAAGAAGCCCCGGCUAACUCCGUG